CCUACGGGUGGCAGCAGUGGGGGAUAUUGCACAAUGGGGGAAACCCUGAUGCAGCGACGCCGCGUGAGUGAAGAAGUAUCUCGGUACGUAAAGCUCUAUCAGCAGGGAAGAAAAUGACAGUACCUGACUAAGAAGCCCCGGCUAACUACGUGCCAGCAGCCGCGGUAAUACGUAGGGGGCAAGCGUUAUCCGGAUUUACUGGGUGUAAAGGGAGCGUAGACGGUAGUGUAAGUCUGGAGUGAAAGCCCGGGGCCGAACCCCGGGACUGCUUUGGAAACUGUGUAACUGGAGUACAGGAGGGGUAGGCGGAAUUCCUGGUGUAGCGGUGAAAUGCGUAGAUAUCAGGAGGAACACCGGCGGCGAAGGCGGCCUGCUGGACUGAAACUGACGUUGAGGCUCGAAAGCGUGGGGAGCAAACAGGAUUAGAUACCCGUGUAGUC
rnacentral:rRNA from 1 species